rnacentral:lncRNA from 1 species
GGCUUUUCAGGAACGCAUGCGGUUUAUUAAUAAGUAUGCUGUGAGAGAUUCAGAGGAGCCCAUAGCUGAGACUGAGACUGCCAGUUUAACACCUAGUUCAGGAGAAAGAGAUUCUCUUACCACAGGAAAGAAAGCAUCACAAGCAGCUAUUGACUCAAGCUUACAAAUGCAGCAAAAAAAAUGGGAGCCUAUAGACCUUAGUCCUUACAUGAGAAAAACAAUGUCUGAGUCUGCACUAAGAAAAGAGCAAGAUAUAAGUAAAGCGGAAAAAAUCAACCAUUUUAGGGAACUUCGAGAGCUGGCUUUGGAACAAAGAGAAAAAGAACGAAAUGCCAGAGCUUUACUGAAGCAAAAUAUACU